rnacentral:lncRNA from 1 species
GGGGAGACCUUUUUGUGGCAUGCAGAGAGAUGGGGGAAAUGCUUGCUGGGGGCCCUGGCUGGAAUAUUCCCAUCGCUUUCUCCUGGGAGAAGUCCCUGCAAAGGGGCAGAUGCAGCAGGGGUUGGGUGAAGGCUGAGAGCUGUGGGGAAGGAGCAGCACCUGAGCCCUGGGAGGGGUGAUAGGGACCACCUGCCUUACUUGGGGUAGGAAGGAACCUUGAUGCUCUCAGAGGGGGCUGGUUGGGAGGCACUGUUGCUUGAGAGGGGGUUUUUGGGCAUGGGAAGUGUGGGAAAGAGGUUGUUUCCAUGAUUUGUCUUUGGUUGCAAUUUGGCAGUCACUUGCUUUGCUUGUGGCAGUCCUGGAAGGUGAUUGAAAUCCUUGCAGGUGUCCCGAGGAGCUUACCAGAUCUUUUUUAUGUGGUUGCUGAAGCAUUGCCCUGGGACAGCAGUAAUGAUGGAUGGAGGAACAGAACACAUUUCAGGAUUGAGUCACAGAGAAAUGUGAGCAUUUACACUUCUGAAGUAGGUGUGAAUGGGACUGAAGGAAUUACAUGGAGGAUUCUGAACUCCCCUUCUUCCUGCUCCGGGAAAGACGGAGAUGUUUCUUGGUGGGCUGUAUUUGAAACCGAGUAG